GAUGAAGAACGUAGCGAAAUGCGAUACUUGGUGUGAAUUGCAGAAUCCCGUGAACCAUCGAGUCUUUGAACACAAGUUGCGCCCGAAGCCAUUAGGCCGAGGGCACGCCUGCCUGGGCGUCACACGUCGUUGCCCCCCCAUCUACUCCUUCGGGAUUGCGGGGCGGAUGAUGGCCUCCCGUGCGCCUCGUCGCGCGGUUGGCAUAAAUGCCAAGUCCUCGGCGACGCACGCCACGACAAUCGGUGGUUGCGAAACCUCGGUUGCCCGUCGUGUGCGGUCGUCGCGCAUCGAGGGCUCGAAAAAAUUGCCGGGCUCCGGCUCGGCUUUCAACGCGACCCCAGGUCAGGCGGGGUUACCCGCUGAAUUUAAGCAUAUCAAUAAGCGGAGGA
rnacentral:misc_RNA from 1 species